rnacentral:rRNA from 1 species
CCUACGGGAGGCAGCAGUAAGGAAUAUUGGUCAAUGGACGCAAGUCUGAACCAGCCAUGCCGCGUGAAGGAUGAAGGCCCUCUGGGUUGUAAACUUCUUUUAUCUGGGACGAAAAAAGGGGAUUCUUCCUCACUUGACGGUACCAGAGGAAUAAGCACCGGCUAACUCCGUGCCAGCAGCCGCGGUAAUACGGAGGGUGCAAGCGUUAUCCGGAUUUACUGGGUUUAAAGGGUGCGUAGGUGGGUCUGUAAGUCAGUGGUGAAAUCUCCGAGCUUAACUUGGAAACUGCCAUUGAUACUAUAGGUCUUGAAUUAUCUGGAGGUAAGCGGAAUAUGUCAUGUAGCGGUGAAAUGCUUAGAUAUGACAUAGAACACCCAUUGCGAAGGCAGCUUACUACGGAUUGAUUGACACUGAGGCACGAAAGCGUGGGGAUCAAACAGGAUUAGAUACCCUGGUAGUCCACGACCUAACGAUAGAUACUACGAC